GAUGAACGCUGGCGGCGUGCCUAACACAUGCAAGUCGAACGUGAGGGGGUAGCAAUAUCCUUGAAAGUGGCGCACGGGUGAGUAAUACGUAGGUGACCUGCCCUGGAGUGGGGGAUAACAGCUAGAAAUGGCUGCUAAUACCGCAUAAUACGAGAAUGCUGGGAAGUGUUCUGGUAAAAACUCUGGCGCUUCAGGAGGGGCCUGCGGCCGAUUAGCUAGUUGGCGGGGUAAGAGCCCACCAAGGCAGUGAUCGGUAGCUGGUCUGAGAGGACGAUCAGCCACACGGGAACUGAGACACGGUCCCGACUCCUACGGGGGGCAGCAGUGAGGAAUAUUGGGCAAUGGGCGGAAGCCUGACCCAGCAACGCCGCGUGGAGGAAGACGGCCUUCGGGUUGUAAACUCCUUUUACGGGGGAAGAGGAAGGACGGUACCCCGAGAAUAAGUCACGGCUAACUACGUGCCAGCAGCCGCAGUAACAC
rnacentral:rRNA from 1 species